rnacentral:lncRNA from 1 species
UCUCAUUUUCAUUUUUACUUUUAUUUUAGGCGACAGAGUCAGGAUCUCAAAGUUUUACUAUUGACCUUUCAUAUACAGAGGCAAUAAAGACUUUCAUAUAAGUUCUAAGGUUAGUAUGCAGUGGCGGAGCCACGUGUGGACAGGGAAUGGCCAUGGCCAUCCCAUUACUAUUAUACCCCUGAGCAAAACACUCUUUCUCAACUCUCUCACUAUCUCGAUUUCUCUCUGUAUGAUUUCUCCAGGUUCUCUCUCUUUCAUUCAUUUUCAAUUUUGUUGUUAUUAGGUUAACAAAGCUUGCUUGAAAUCUUCCAGUUUAACGAAAAUCUUUGCAGGUUUGUGAUUUUUUGUUUCUAAAAUAUAUUCUUUAGUUAUUUUUAUGCAAUGGUGAAGAUUUGUAUGUUUAAAAAGCUGUUUUUAUUCUUCCCCUUAAAAUGAGCAUAUUAGAUUGUAUAAAUCACCCUUUUGAUCAUUGUUUUCAAUUUUGUAAUCAAAAUUUGAUUUUGCUUAUGUUUUGUCAUCUGGGUUGUUUUCUAAUUCUUAUUAUCAAUAUUGUGUUUCUUUUUAUUUUUUGGGUGUGGGUCAGUAUUGCUUUUACCGUCAUGAUUCAUGUAGCAGGAUAAAGUUGAUAUUAGAAUCAACCCUUUAAGCUAUGGAUAAAUAUUUAACUUGAUAUUGCACAGUAAAUGAUUCACGAGAUAUUGAACAGUUCAAAUUUAACAUCAUGGAGUGUUCAUAGCUUUAUUUAUAGAUGUGUUGGAUAGUAUUGGUAUUAACAUGUUUAUCUACAAAUGACUAGAUAGUAUCCUGGCAAAAAUUUAGUGAUUCAUUAAGUGGUAUUGGUUGGUUACAUUAGCCACUGUUACUUCAGUGAUGCAUUUUUGCAGCUUAGUUCAUUUCACUCACUAUUUAUUUAGUUUUUUUUUAUGAUUGUAACUAUUAUUGGUGUACACUGAUUGAAUUGAUUUUGCUGUGACUUGAAAAACUUAAGGAAAAUUAAUUUUAAAACCCGUUUAAUUCUUUUUGAAGUAACUUGGAUUGGAUUGAUUUUUCUCAAUUCCAGUAACUUGUUUUGCUUCUCAAUUAUAAUGUUUAUUUAAAAUAGUUUUGAAUUGCUUGUUUGCUUAUUCAUACUAUAUCAAAGAGAGAUAUUUGAUUUUGAAACUGGAAUUUGCAGAAAAAAUUCAAGAGGAAGAGUCGAAAAAUCGAUUCAAUUUCUAAAAAUUGAUAGCGGCCAUCCCAAAAAAAUAUGUCUGGCUCCGCCACUGUUAGUAUGAAUGAUCAAAGCGGGAGGUCCCACAUAACCUUGUAUUUUAUAUCCGUUUGGAUAUGAGAUAAUUCAGAUCAAUUUCCAGUUUCCCCUACCCAUCGUCUUGAUUUCCCAAAUUCUUUGGAGGACGCAAGAGGGAUAAGAAGCCUUCUCCCUCCUUCCCAAGUUACUCUGCCUUCCUUUGAUACUGUUGACAUGCUCAUGUGGUCCCAUACUCCCAAUGGAGAGUUACCUCUAAAGGAGGCAUACAAGUUUAAAGAUCAUAACACAUCAAAGCUAUCUUGGACAAAAUAUGUCUGGAAUAGGGAUGUUCCUCC